UUGUAGAUAAACAUUUUUUAUACCGUCCAUCUUUCAUAAAAACUUAUAAAUUUUUUAAAAACAAUAAAUGAGUGUUUAAAGGCACACACAAUGAUUGAGGAACCGCAAAUUAUUGAAGUUUGGAGUAAAGAGCGUAUUUUAGGUUCUGGAGGUUUUGGAAUCGUAACUUUAUGGAAGAAUAAUGUCACUGAAGAAUUUAUAGCAAUAAAAAAAUAUAGACCAGGGGUGGAAGUCACUAAAAAGCAAAAAGAACGAUGGUGCCAAGAGGUAGAAAUGAUACGAAAUAUAGACCACAAAAAUGUCGUUUCGUACAAACAUUUACCAGAAGUAUUAGAACAAGCUUUAACACCUUACAACUUAUCCAAAUUACCCAUGUUAAGUAUGGAAUAUUGUACUGGAGGUGAUUUACGUGAAACGUUAAAUCGAUCAGCAAAUUGUUGUGGUCUCCCCGAAGCCGUAUGCCGUGAUAUAUUAUUUGAUGUCAAGAAUGCAAUCGAAUAUUUACAUUCGAAAGCUAUCACACAUCGAGAUAUUAAACCAGAAAAUAUUGUACUACAACAAACAGAUGAACGUCCAAGUAAAUUUAUUUAUAAAUUAACUGAUUUAGGGUAUGCUAAAGAAUUGGAUUCGAAUAGUAUUGAUGCUAGUCUUGUUGGGACUAUACAAUAUUUAGCACCGGAAAUAUUAUGCGCGAAGUCUUAUUCGAACAGUGUGGAUUAUUGGUCAUUUGGAUUGAUUGCAUUUGAAAUUAUUUGUGGGGUACGACCAUUUUUACCAAAUUAUGCGGAGCUUGGAAUUUGGAUGGAAAAAGUUGAACAAAAACAAUCCGAACAUAUAUGCAUCUACAACACAAUCGAUAAUCAAAUCAUUUAUUCAGAACAAAUGUAUUCAACGAACCAUGUAACAAAAACCUUUAAAAAUAAAAUGGAAAAAUGGUUACGUUAUGCAUUAGAAUGGAAUUCAAAGAAACGUGGACGGAAUGAAAAUGAUAAUAAAAUUAUUAUAUUUUCAAUGUUAGAUGAUAUUUUAUCCAAAAAAAUAUUAAGUAUUUAUUCAGUGACAUCAUAUCAAUUUGUAAGCUAUGAAAUUGAUGAAAGUACAUUGAUUACAACAUUACAAACAUGGAUUGAACGUGAUCUGUCGUUAUCCAUAACUGAUCAAUUUAUAUUGGAUUUUUAUGGGGUACAAAUAUUAUCGGAUGGAUUGUGUAUGGAUUAUUUUGAUGAGACAUACAAUAGUCCAAUGCUUUACGUAUUUCAUAAAGAUCACAUUUUACCUACAAACAAAGAAAUGUUAUUAAAAUCACCACUAGUGCCUAAAGAUGUGCAACCAUUAUUAGUCGAUCCAAAACGUUCAUGUAGUUACUUCUAUCAAAAACGUGUUUACUCACAAGCAUUAUUCUUCGUAUACAGCGAACGUCGUUUAUAUGACACUUUAUUAGAUUCAUGCGUGGUCAAAAUAAACUUCUUAAUACAAAAUUUUACAAAAUCAAGAGCACGUAUUCAACAAAUGUACGAUCACACAAUCGAAUUAAAUGCUUACAAAGAUUUUUCGAAUUAUUUAUUAAAAAUGGAUGAAUUAAAUUAUAAUAAAUUACAAAAAUUCGAAAACCAGGUUUAUGGGAAAUGGUGUGAACGAUAUCAAAAGAUAACGUUAGAUAUUGAAAAAUUACGUGAAGCUACAAAUAAAUUAAAAACACGUUAUGAAUCUGCUUUUAGGCGUGUGAAUAAUUUAAGCACUGAUUAUUGUGAUACAUAUUCAAAAGAUAAAGUACAUGAUUUAACUAGUAGUUUUGUAAGAGCUUUAGACAUUUAUAAAGAAUUUAAAAUAAAGCACAAAGAAAAAAAACUAGUCAGUUGCGAAAGUGUUGUUGAUGUCAUUUACGAAUGUUUAAACGCAAGACUGAGAUUAUUAAAAAAUAAUGAAUUUCAUAAAUAUAUGCAACAAAUCAAUGAUCUGAAAAAAGAAUAUGAUCAAAUAUUAAUUGUCAUCUCAAAUGCGCAAGAUCAUAUAAAAAAGUACAAAAAUGAUUUAUGCCAAUUACAAAGUGAAAGGCAACAAGAGUUAUGGCAAUAUUUAUUAUCCGAGUCGAGCCAAAAAAUGAAUUGCAAUGGCAAUACAAAUUCAUAUACAGUACAUAAACCAUUAAAAUUUAUAACUGGAGAUUCAAAAUUAGCUGAGGUCACAAAUAUGCCAAAUAUGUCGAAGGAUUCAAUGUUUAUGGUUAAUAGUAUGGCACCAUUUGAUCUAUCAACGUUAAGUUCUGAAGUUGUUGGAAUUAUUAAUGAUAAUGCAAAUUUACGCCAUCAGUAAGUUGAAAUAUUUGAUGUUUAUAAAUCCCGAAUCAAAAACAGGGUUUAAUAAGCUUGAUUGCUAUCUGUGUGUGAAUCGAUUAACCUAAACGGAUGAACCGAUUUUUUUUUUGAAAGAUUGGAACAUAAAACAAAUGAAAGUUUGUUACAAAUUGAGGAAAUUAUGAAAACAAAUUUUGAUUUUAAUCUCGAAUGAGACUCAAGUAUAUAUAACAUAGAGCUGAAUAUUUAAGAAAUUGUGAUUUGAAGUUGGCAUCAAACUGAUUAACGUCGUAGCCAAUUAUUUUAUUUUUUAAAUGAUAAAUAUAUUUAAACAAAACCAAAGAGACGUUUAAAAAUGUACUCUGCGCUUUUAUAAAGUUACUUAUUUUAAUUUUAUUGUUAUUAGGUAAUACGAUCAUUGUGUCUGAUAGAGAUUCGACGGUAAAGGCAUUUCGAAUUUUUGUGCGUUAAAUUUUGUCUGUGACCCUACAAUCACAUACAAAUAAUAUAUGUACAUAAAUAUAUACAUGCAUUUUCUAUACAGUUAAAUUUUCUCUUAAAUCGUAUAUUUAAAUGGAAAUUUCUAACCUAAGCUGAGUUAUUUUUGUGAGGAAUCAAGCUUUAUUCAUUAAAUUUCUUUUUGUGAAAAUCAAGCCUUAAUUUUUCCACAGCCAUUGUGAUCGUACUACAUUAAAUGAUUGUGAUAAUA